GACGAACGCUGGCGGCGUGCUUAACACAUGCAAGUCGAACGGAAAGGCCCUGCUUUUGUGGGGUGCUCGAGUGGCGAACGGGUGAGUAACACGUGAGUAACCUGCCCUUGACUUUGGGAUAACUUCAGGAAACUGGGGCUAAUACCGGAUAUGAGCUCCUGCUGCAUGGUGGGGGUUGGAAAGUUUCGGCGGUUGGGGAUGGACUCGCGGCUUAUCAGCUUGUUGGUGGGGUAGUGGCUUACCAAGGCUUUGACGGGUAGCCGGCCUGAGAGGGUGACCGGCCACAUUGGGACUGAGAUACGGCCCAGACUCCUACGGGAGGCAGCAGGGGGGAAUAUUGCACAAUGGGCGGAAGCCUGAUGCAGCAACGCCGCGUGCGGGAUGACGGCCUUCGGGUUGUAAACCGCUUUCGCCUGUGACGAAGCGUGAGUGACGGUAAUGGGUAAAGAAGCACCGGCUAACUACGUG
rnacentral:rRNA from 1 species